AAAAAAGAAGAUUAUAUAAGAAAAUUAUGUAAUACUUUUCAUAAAAUUGAAAAUAUUAUUUUUUGCUAGGGUUAAAUAUGUUUUUAGUCCCUAUAUUUUGGAACGAUUUUGGUUUUAGUCAAUUUUCAAACUAUGGUACAAUUUAGUCCUUCAACUUUAGAAAACUCUGGUUUUAGUUAUUUUUAUCAAAUUUUUUUAACUUUAUUUAUUGUUUCAAGCACAUU
rnacentral:lncRNA from 1 species